rnacentral:rRNA from 1 species
AUGUUCACGGAGCCACGCAGGUGCUCUGGCCGUUAUCGCGCCCCAGCCACUAGUCGCUGCAAUCUGCGGCGCGCGCUCGCCUCGCCUCUGCCGGGCUGCUGCGUUCAUCACAACCACCACGCCAGCGCAGGGCCCUCCCCCAUCCAAACCAUCUCCACACUCCUCUCGCCAGGCCCCCGCCGCCGACUCCACACUCUCUACGCUCGGCCGCCGCGACGGGGGCGGAUGGCGACGGCGAGCGGCCUCUCCGCCCCUCUGCAGCUCCUCUCCUUGCGGCGGGCACCCGCCAAGAACCUCUCGCCGCGGAGAGCAGCCGCGGGAGCUCUGUCAGGUUCACUUAUUGUGAAGAGAUUUUCUUUAUGCAACGGGAGAAGUCAUCACCAAUUUUUACCAUUGAAACAAAGGGGAAGGUUGCAAGCAGCAGUACUACCUGUUACUCCACCACUGCUUGAUGAUGAGGAAAAAAGGAAGCAAAUGUCUGAAGAUUAUGGUUUCAAUCAAAUUGGAGAACAGCUACCAGAUAACAUUACUCUUAAAGAUGUCAUGGAUACUCUGCCUAAAGAGGUAUUUGAAAUCGAUGAUGUAAAGGCUUGGGCAUCUGUUCUGAUAUCAGUUACUUCAUAUGCUUUCGGUCUUUUCCUUAUCUCAAAAGCUCCAUGGUAUCUUCUUCCCGUUGCUUGGGCAUGGGCUGGUACAGCAGUGACUGGGUUUUUUGUCAUAGGUCAUGAUUGUGCACAUAAAUCAUUUUCAAGGAAUAAGCUAGUGGAGGAUAUCGUUGGAACUCUAGCUUUCCUGCCAUUAAUUUACCCUUAUGAACCUUGGAGGUUUAAGCAUGACAGACAUCACGCCAAGACAAAUAUGUUAGUAGAAGAUACUGCAUGGCAACCUGUUUGGCAAAACGAAAUUGAAUCGUCUUCUUUCCUAAGGAAGGCAAUUAUAUUUGGUUAUGGUCCUAUCAGGCCAUGGAUGUCUAUUGCUCACUGGUUGAUGUGGCACUUUGAUCUAAAAAAAUUCCGGCCAAAUGAACUCCCUAGGGUGAAGAUAAGUUUGGCGUGUGUCUUUGCAUUCAUGGCAAUUGGAUGGCCCCUAAUCAUUCUUCAAUCAGGAAUAGCUGGAUGGUUCAAGUUCUGGUUCAUGCCAUGGAUGGUUUAUCACUUUUGGAUGAGCACCUUUACAAUGGUGCAUCACACUGCUCCUCAUAUACCUUUCAAAUCAUCAAAAGAGUGGAAUGCUGCACAGGCGCAAUUAAACGGCACAGUUCACUGUAGCUAUCCUCGAUGGAUAGAGAUCCUUUGCCAUGACAUAAAUGUACACGUCCCGCACCAUAUUUCUCCAAGAAUUCCAAGUUAUAACCUUCGUGCUGCCCACGACUCCAUUAAACAGAACUGGGGCAAGUAUAUCAAUGAGGCCAGCUGGAAUUGGCGGUUGAUGAAGACAAUAUUGACUACAUGCCAUGUGUAUGACAAAGAGAGAUACUACGUUUCUUUUGACGAGCUCGUGCCUGAGGAAUCUCAACCAAUAAGAUUCCUUAAGAAGUUCAUGCCAGAUUAUGCUUGA